rnacentral:rRNA from 1 species
UGCUUGGGAAUAUGCCUUGAGGUGGGGGACGAACAGUUGGUAAAAGAACUGCUAAUAACCGCAUAAUGUCUACGGACCAAAACGGGAAGGGGAGUCUUCGGUACCUUUCGUCCUUUAGUAUUAGCCCAACGUGAGAUUAGCUAGUUGGUGGGGUAAGUGGCCUACCAAGGCGACGAUCUCUAGCUGGUUUGAGAGGAUGAUCAGCCACACUGGGACUGAGACACGGCCCAGACUCCUACGGGAGGCAGCAGUGGGGAAUAUUGCACAAUGGGGGAAACCCGUGAUGCAGCCAUGCCGCGU